rnacentral:lncRNA from 1 species
AGGGAGGCAUUGCUUCCAUUUGGGAAAAUAAACAAAAUCUAUAUCCUCUGGAGAUCCUAAUGAAAGGAUUGCUCCUGUGCCCAACAUGUUGUGCUGUGCUUCAUGUGCCAGAGGGACAAUCUGAGUCUGUAAUGUCAGAAGAGUACAUCUGCACAGUAAGAACAGAAUGAAAAUGGUAGAUUCACCAUGCUGAAGGUCAAGGAGACCUUUCUCUUUGCUGUCUGUGUUCAGAAGGACCAGAGGGAUGAAUAACUUCUCAAGGUAGCAGUAAUCUUAUGCUCUCCUUCAUCUAACGUUAUCAAAACCUGUUUAAUCAGGCUGAAGUUACCCUCCUGGCUACCCAGCUUCAGCAAGUGGCGGUUAUGGGUUAGAUGUGAAACUGAGCUUGGACUAUUAACAUCUCCUAAAUGCCUCCCCAAAAUCAAGAAUAUUACCAUCACUUCUUGGCCAUCAUCCUGUCACGGUAAUGACAUUUCAAUUGUUUGAACUCCUCCGUGGGACUGUAGCCAAAUAACAGAUUCCUUGCUGGAAUAAAGCAUUCCACUCAGAAACACAACUGGUUUUGAGUGCUGUCAUGUUUAUGCAGUUCUCUGCCAAAGCAAAGCACACUCUUGUUUUUAUUGGAUUAAUAAAGGAUUGUUCUGGAAAACAAUGCUAUUAUUAUACGUGACUUUUUGGAAGAGACCCUCUGCAGAUAACCGUAGCGUUGCACAAAGAAAGAUUAACCAGGAAGGUUGUUUUCUUGCUUUUCUGAGCUCUGCUGAGUGCUAGAACGCAAGUCAUAGAGGAGAACCUCCUGCAUCCCACUCACAACUGAGGGCAACCAUUCCUGGCGGUGGGACAGGCCUGCAGGACAUCACAGCUUCACGGCUUUGCCACCAGCGACAAAGGAGAGCUGAGCUGGGAGGAGCAGGUAAAAAUGGGGUCUGCCGCAGUGUGGGAGCUUGCUCCAGCCACAGCGUCCCUCCGUCGGCUCUCUCUGUGGGACCACCACGUCUGUAAGCUCUACGUGCUGUGCGGAGGCAUCUUCACGGCGAAGCACCUCCGUUUAACUCAAGGCCCUUUCUCCUUUCCACGGAGCCACGCAGAGGCACGGAGGACAGGCUGUCAAAGCCCAGCACUGAGAUGAGACGCCCACAGGCAGCCGUGCCGAGGGCGCGCUGGGAUGGCCGGAGCUGUGGCGCCGCGGCGGGCGGUUGAUACCGCGCCUCAGCUCAGCGGCGGCGCACCCAGCGCCCAGCCGCGGGCUCAG